AUUGAACGCUGGCGGCAGGCCUAACACAUGCAAGUCGAGCGGGUGAAGGGAGCUUGCUCCUGGGUUCAGCGGCGGACGGGUGAGUAAUGCCUAGGAAUCUGCCUGGUAGUGGGGGAUAACGUCCGGAAACGGGCGCUAAUACCGCAUACGUCCUGAGGGAGAAAGUGGGGGAUCUUCGGACCUCACGCUAUCAGAUGAGCCUAGGUCGGAUUAGCUAGGUGGUGGGGUAAAGGCCUACCAAGGCGACGAUCCGUAACUGGUCUGAGAGGAUGAUCAGUCACACUGGAACUGAGACACGGUCCAGACGCCUACGGGAGGCAGCAGAGGGGAAUAUUGGACAAUGGGCGAAAGCCUGAUGCAGCAAUGGCGCGUGUGUGAAGAAGGUCUUCGGAUUGUAAAAAACAUUAAGUUGGGAGGAAGGGCAGUAAGUUAAGACAUUGAUGUUUUGACGUUACCAACAGAAUAAGCACCGGCUAACUACGUG
rnacentral:rRNA from 1 species